AAACGGCUGAGGAGUCCUACAAUAGGACGAAAUGGUCGUUCAGUGU
rnacentral:hammerhead_ribozyme from 1 species